rnacentral:rRNA from 1 species
AUGUUAAAGCCCGUUGAGAAUUGCAAACUUUGUGGUGCAAAGAGGUUUGAGCAUGGGUCCAAAGGGUUUUGUUGCUGUAAUGGGAAGACCAAACAGGCCAAUUUGGUUACAUCACCCAAUCUCAUGAGGCUUUGGAUGAGUGCAGACCCAGAUGCUAUGCACCUUCGUGACAAUAUCAGGUUUUUCAAUGGGCAUUUCUCAUUCACCUAAGUGUACUGUCACCUUGAUAGUGAUACCUCAAACACAUCAAAACAUCAUAUCUACACAUUCUGUGCCCAUGGAUAGAUGUAUCACAACAUACGACCAUUUGGUAGACAAGAUGGCUUAGAGCGCAGUCACUUGGAGCUUUACUUCUAUGAUGAUGACCCCAAUCUCGAGCACAGGUAUCAUAGUUGCCGCAAAGAGCAGUGUGCGAAAGACAAAGGAGUAAUCACAUAG